rnacentral:rRNA from 1 species
UGGGGAAUAUUGCACAAUGGGCGAAAGCCUGAUGCAGCAACGCCGCGUGAGUGAUGAAGGCCUUCGGGUUGUAAAGCUCUGUCUUUUGGGACGAUAAUGACGGUACCAAAGGAGGAAGCCACGGCUAACUACGUGCCAGCAGCCGCGGUAAUACGUAGGUGGCAAGCGUUGUCCGGAAUUACUGGGCGUAAAGAAUGCGUAGGUGGAUAUGCAAGUCAGAUGUGAAAUACCCGGGCUCAACUUGGGUGCUGCAUUUGAAACUAUAUAUCUAGAGUGCAGGAGAGGAAAGCGGAAUUCCUAGUGUAGCGGUGAAAUGCGUAGAGAUUAGGAAGAACACCAGUGGCGAAGGCGGCUUUCUGGACUGUAACUGACACUGAGGCAUGAAAGCGUGGGGAGCAAACA